UAAAACUUUUUUUCCAUUUUAGGUUGAAUGGCUGAAUCCCCAAACCAUCCUCUCCAGGAUGACGGGGAAGAAGAUUCAGGUGAUGACGCAUCAGCAGCGAACACAUCUUCUGAAGAUGUCACAACAACUGAGCAAGACAAUAGUGACUCUGGCACUCAGAAUGAUGUUGCAGCAAAUAGGCAAGAAGAUAGUGACCCAGGUAGGGCAAAACAGAGAGAAAAUAGCCGAACCAAGCCCGACAAUCAAGGGAUAUGUCGUGUAAAUGCUGAUACUGGACGUGAAGGAAACGACCAGAUAAGGAGAGAGCAAAAUCAAGGGCAAGGUAAUUCUGGUCAAACAAAGUUAGGGCAAGGAAAACGUUGCCUUGUUGACUCUGGGCAGGUGGCAGGGCAUGGAGAAUGCGGCCAGAUAAUGCACGGAGCUAGUCAUGGUCAAGAUGACCCAACUGAAAACCCACAAAGAAGUUACUCGGAUGCCCUACGUCAACCACCGCAUUGCUCACAACCAACACCGCUG